UUGGAUUUGUGGUGUGUCCAGUUGGCCUUUGCUCUUUGAGUGAUAGUGCUUUACUGGUCUGCCAUGUUUGGGUGGAAUCUGUGUGGCAUUAAGUUGUCGUGCAGGGGAUGCCCAUCGUUUACUGUGAAAAAAUUAGAGUGUUCAAAGCAGGCUUAUGCCUCUGAAUAUAUUAGCAUGGAAUAAUGAUAUAGGACCUUGGUACUAUUUUGUUGGUUUGCGCACUGAGGUAAUGAUUAAGAGGGACAGUUGGGGGUAUUUGUAUUCCAUUGUCAGAGGUGAAAUUCUUGGAUUUUUGGAAGACAAACUACUGCGAAAGCAUUUACCAAGGAUGUUUUCAUUAAUCAAGAACGAAAGUUAGGGGAUCGAAGAUGAUUAGAU
rnacentral:rRNA from 1 species